GUGGGGCACAGAGCAGAAGUCUGUGGGCUGCAGAGUCUGGGACGUGCCUGUUGGACUGGGCUGGGGUCAAGAGGGCUGCCCACUGGCCUGGCCUCGUCAGCCAAAGCCAACACAGGAAAUGCCAAGCAGACCUCAACGUCCGGGCACCUAUUUUGCUCUGGCUGGCAGGGAGCGCCGCCUCCCCAGCUCGGGCCGCGCGGGCAGCACCGGCGGCGGGGAGGGAGCGGUGGCCUCGGGUGCUCAGGGGAUGCGCUGUCCCCGCGCCGUCCUCGCCGGCCCUCGGCGGCGGCCGCGGGGCAAGAGGAGCCGGGCAAACACUCAGGAGGCCAGCCAGCAGCGCGAGGAGCCAGGCGUUACCCUGGACGGCGGCCACCGGCUUGUUGCUGGGAUCCAGUUUCCCGCUCCUGCUCCUCCGAGAGGAGAGCUGCAAGGGGUCAGCCCCUCCGCCAAGCCCCAGGAAGGAGCCUGGUGGGCAGACGGUUGUUAACGCCGCCGCCGCCGCCCGGGUGAUUAGCUGCUGUAAUGGGCCCGCGGAGGAGCCGGGGAGGGAACAGCGUGUGCGGCAGCCGCUCGCCCUGAUCCGAUUAGUUGGUUUGGUUUGAAAACCCCUCCAAUACCUGCUAACCAGCCCUGUCCAGCCCAGGCCUCUAGGGCCCCAGAGCCACAGAAGACCCCGAGGGAUCCUGGGAGACACUGGAGGAGGGGUGCCACUGCAUCCAAGCAGAUCCUGUGCCCACUCCUAGCCCACUGCUUCCUUCUCAUUCCCAGGCUCUCUCUCCCACCCCAACCCUCACUUAGGGGUUUUCCAGCCUCUCUGCUCCAUCAUAUCCCCCCGCUGCAGGGAAGAGGCUGGAAGCUAUGACAGAAUGAGAACAAGGCCUGGCUCUGCAGUCUGGGACAGCCAUUAAACCUUUCUGAACCUCAGUGUUCUCAUCUUUAAAAUGGGAGUGAGGAAUACCCACAUUCUACUUACUGCCUUGGAAGGAUAUCAAUGAUGCAUUGUUGAGUGAAAACAGCAGGAUGUGGUGCAGAAUGCCGUGAAGAUGGUCUGGAAGGAGAUCCAAUAAAUUGUUGACAGAAGGUACCCCUGGAGUAUGAGAGUAGCCAGGGAGAGGGCAGAUAAUGGGGGGGGGAGAAUUUUCACUUUUACUUAAUAUACUGUGAUACCGCUUGAAUCUUA